AUCUAUAAACACCUAUGAAUAUCUGUGGACAUCUAUAAACACCUUUGAAUAUCUGUGGACAUCUAUGAACACCUAUGAAUAUCUGUGGACAUCUAUAAACACCUAUGAACACGUAUGAAUUCCUUUGAAUAUCUGUGGACAUCUAUGAACACCUAUGAACAUCUGUGAACACCUAGAAAUUUUUGUGGACAUCUAUAAACACCUAUGAACAUAUAUGAACUCCUAUGAAUAUCUGUGGACAUCUAUAAACACCUAUGAGCAUCUAUGAAGACUGCGUCUGCUUCUGCUGGAUGGAGAGUUGAGCUGUACCUGGCCGUCUGUGUGUUGAUGUGGUAAAUGUAGUCCGGCACAGUGUUGUCAGAAAACAGAGCAGCGUAUUUCUGCUUGAAGUCUGAGCGCAGCAGCUGCAGCAGCAGAGGACCUGCACCACAAACAGCUCAGUUUAACAUUCACAGCAGUGGGUCCCGCCAGCCGCAGCAGAGCCAGAGGGUUGAACGGAUUCAUAGCAGAUCCGAACGCUUUAAUCCAGAAGGGAACCCAGCGCUCUGGGGCACUGGGUCUGGCGGCGAAACCCCACGGCUCCACCAGAAUCAGGUGUGUUGGUGAUGUUGGACACCAGGACGGCAACCAGCCGGAGAUCCAGCUGGAUCUACAGGAACACACGCUAAUGCUCAAUGUACAGUUAUAACAAUUUAUAAAGAGAGUGUGUGUGUGUGUGUGUGUGUGUGUGUGUGUGUGCUCACCUGCACUCUGUAAGCU